AUUGAACGCUGGCGGCAUGCUUUACACAUGCAAGUCGAACGGUAACAGGCCUUCGGGUGCUGACGAGUGGCGAACGGGUGAGUAAUGCAGCGGAACGUGCCCAGAGGUGGGGGAUAACGCAGCGAAAGCUGUGCUAAUACCGCAUGUGAUCUGAGGAUGAAAGCGGGGGACCAGGCAGCAAUGUUUGGCCUCGCGCCUUUGGAGCGGCCGAUGUCAGAUUAGGUAGUUGGUGGGGUAAAGGCCUACCAAGCCGACGAUCUGUAGCUGGUCUGAGAGGACGACCAGCCACACUGGGACUGAGACACGGCCCAGACUCCUACGGGAGGCAGCAGUGGGGAAUUUUGGACAAUGGGCGCAAGCCUGAUCCAGCAAUGCCGCGUGCGGGAAGAAGGCCUUCGGGUUGUAAACCGCUUUUGUACGGAACGAAAAGGCUCUGGCUAAUACCUGGGGCUGAUGACGGUACCGUAAGAAUAAGCACCGGCUAACUACGUG
rnacentral:rRNA from 1 species